GGCGUAGAUGUCGAUUUGGAGGUUGUGCCCUUGAGGCGUGGCUUCCGGAGCUAACGCGUUAAAUCGACCGCCUGGGGAGUACGGCCGCAAGGUUAAAACUCAAAUGAAUUGACGGGGGCCCGCACAAGCGGUGGAGCAUGUGGUUUAAUUCGAUGCAACGCGAAGAACCUUACCUACUCUUGACAUCCAGAGAACUUAGCAGAGAUGCUUUGGUGCCUUCGGGAACUCUGAGACAGGUGCUGCAUGGCUGUCGUCAGCUCGUGUUGUGAAAUGUUGGGUUAAGUCCCGCAACGAGCGCAACCCUUAUCCUUUGUUGCCAGCGAUUCGGUCGGGAACUCAAAGGAGACUGCCGGUGAUAAACCGGAGGAAGGUGGGGAUGACGUCAAGUCAUCAUGGCCCUUACGAGUAGGGCUACACACGUGCUACAAUGGCGUAUACAAAGAGAAGCGACCUCGCGAGAGCAAGCGGAACUCAUAAAGUACGUCGUAGUCCGGAUUGGAGUCUGCAACUCGACUCCAUGAAGUCGGAAUCGCUAGUAAUCGUAGAUCAGAAUGCUACGGUGAAUACGUUCCCGGGCCUUGUACACACCGCCCGUCACACCAUGGGAGUGGGUUGCAAAAGAAGUAGGUAGCUUAACCUUCGGGAGGGCGCUUACCACUUUGUGAUUCAUGACUGGGGUGAAUCUAAAA
rnacentral:rRNA from 1 species